rnacentral:ncRNA from 1 species
UAUCUGGUUGAUCCUGCCAGUAGUCAUAUGCUUGUCUCAAAGAUUAAGCCAUGCAUGUCUAAGUACAAACCUUAAUACGGUGAAACCGCGAAUGGCUCAUUAAAUCAGCUAUGGUUCCUUAGAUCGUCUCAUCCUACUCGGAUAACUGUGGAAAAUCUAGAGCUAAUACGUGCUUACAAGCCCUGACCUCACGGGAGGGGCGCAUUUAUUAGAUCAAAACCAAUCGGGGCUUGCCCCGUCUGCUUGGUGACUCUGGAUAACUUUUGUGCUGAUCGCAUGGCCUCUGCGCUGGCGACGUAUCUUUCAAGUGUCUGCCCUAUCAACUUACGAUGGUAGGUGAUAUGCCUACCAUGGUUAUAACGGGUAACGGGGAAUCAGGGUUCGAUUCCGGAGAGGGAGCCUGAGAAACGGCUACCACAUCUAAGGAAGGCAGCAGGCGCGCAAAUUACCCACUCCCGGCACGGGGAGGUAGUGACGAAAAAUAACGAUACGGGACUCUUUUGAGGCCCCGUAAUUGGAAUGAGUACACUUUAAAUCCGUUUAACAAGUAUCUAUUGGAGGGCAAGUCUGGUGCCAGCAGCCGCGGUAAUUCCAGCUCCAAUAGCGUAUAUUAAUGUUGCUGCAGUUAAAAAGCUCGUAGUUGGAUCUGAGGACUCGAAUUGGUGGUGCACCAUACGGUGUUACUGCCGAUUCGGCCUACC